rnacentral:misc_RNA from 1 species
AAGCAGGUUGUAUAGCCCGAACCAAAGAUUCACCAAACAAAGGGGGAAACAACACCAUCAUCAUCAACACCAAGAGCACCAGCUGCCACAUGGGGGAGACUUCAAAGACUCAUGAAAGCACAAAUAGGAACAACUCCACCACUUCAUAGGACAUUCACGGCUUCAACAAGCUGAGCUCCAAGUAAGCUAGAGAUCAAAUUGCUGAUAGAUAAAAUAACUAGCAACCAGGUGCUAAAAAAAUCGGGGGAAUAUAUAGCAGAGUUCAUGCAUCUCAUUCUCAUAUAAUUAAGAGGGAGUUGUUGAUUAACGACUGGAUCGAUACCAUCACAUUCCUUGAGUUAUCAACCAAUACAGGAAUUUCUAGAUUCAAACUACUAAAAUUUUACCAAAGCAUAUUUACACUAAAACAAAAUUUGCCAACAAAAAUCAACACACAUGCAACUUACUUAUUCAUAGCUCAACUUGAUUAUGGAGAGGGGAAGGAUAGGGUUGGGUAGCAGUCAUCCCUUACUGCUCUGGAAUAGGGGAUGGCCACUAAUCGAUUGCAAAA